rnacentral:lncRNA from 1 species
CACAAAUUCUAGAUGCCUCAGACUCCCUGAACUCCAAACUCCAUCUCCUCUACUUGGCAAGACCACCUGGCUCUGUCCUAUGGUUUGCAAACCCUGCAGGCGGUGAGCUGGGGCACUCAUCAGUUUCACCUGGUUUAUUUCUGGUCUCUCAGAGAUCACUGUCCUGCACUGCCCGUUGUCCAAGGCCUCAUAUUUUCUUGGAUUCUUUAAAGUGAAAGAAUACACCUGGUUGCUGUUAUUCUAAUAUGGCCAGAAACAGAAUAUCAUAGGCCAGGGUCAGGGGAGGGGCAGCCAAAAUGGUGGCAUGACGGGGCAAGACUGGUUCUGAGGCAGGGCCAGGGGAGCAGGCCUGUCAGUGGACUCUGAUUUGUGAGCCUGGACUGGAUCAUGGGACAGGAAGCCAAAAGGGGCAGAUUUUUCUUAGAAAGGCUUAGGAAGGAGUCCACUAAAUUCCAUGCACUGUGAAACAGCUGCUCUGGAGGUGUGUUGUUGACUUAGUUCAAUCAACAUGACUGCAUUCCCCCUGUCAAGUGCCAGGCUCCCUGUUUCUGAGAGUCUUAGCUCAGCUGAGUAGUUAGAAAGGAAGGAUAGCCCAUGUACCAGUCAUCCAGGCAGUGGCAGUGUCACCCUGGCUCCUUAUGGGCACUUUGAGAUCAGUGCUCCUCCCUCCUCCCUAAAUCCUCCUGCUUCUUUGAAGCACGUAUUGUCAGAACACAGUUCCUGCCCCAUUUCCUUGUUGCAUCAUCUACAGAUCUUCUGGUCGCUUCCUUUCCUCCACUGAUGACUUUAGCACCUGUCUUCAUCCUUGAUACCCCUGCAGGUCAAUGCUUCCCCAUCUUUUUCAGGUUGUAUCACAUAUAGAAAAGAAUCAAAUAUGUCUAGCACCCCGAGGUAAACCAGAGGGGAUCUCAUGAUCUUCACAUGAACCUUAGUGUCUUAGACAAAGGGGGCAGUGGUAGUUUUGUUCUAUUUUGGUUUGUUUUUGAAACGGGUGAUAGAAAAGCAUGCUUUUGUGCUGACAGGAAAGAUCUAGGAGAGAGGGAGAAAUUGAUGCUGCCAGAAAGAGGGGACAGUUACAGAAGCGAAGACCUUGAGAAGGAGAUGAUGAGACCCAGGAUGCAACACAGAAGGCUUGGACUUAGAUAAGGGCACCAAGGUCCCUCGACAGUGCCUGGAGGGAAGAUUCCUGGAUAUCACGUGAGAAGAGAGGAGGUCUUGCUGUGCUGCCCGGCUGGUCUCGAAUUCCUGGGCUCAAGUGAUCCUCCCACCUCAGCCUCCCAAAGUGCUGGGAUUAUGGAUGUGAGCCACCACACCUGGCCAUAGAGAGCCUUUGGUAAACACAUAAAAUUAGAUCCACAUACAAGAACAAACUCCAAAUGCAUCAGCAAUCUAAAAGUAAAAGAUGA